rnacentral:lncRNA from 12 species
GUCGAUUCCAGCAGUUUCCUCCAAUCACGGGGUCUCCCCCUGAGCCCCCAGGACAGGGUCCGGUGGCAGAGUCGCGUCCCUAGAGGGGUCCCCACUGAGCAACACUCUUCCCAACCAUGACCUUGGGUGCCGGGUGCAGACAGCGGGCACCGCCCAGCCCUUGGCACACACGGCAUGUCUGCCUGGGACCCCGUGUCGGUCGGGCUCCAGGGGUGCACACGCACAUGCACACAGGACGUCCGGCGUCACCAUCCUGGGGCCCGCGGCCUUCCUUGGGGGGCCCUCCAGCGCCCCCCGCCCUUCUGUGGCACCCGAGGCCCGUCUUGCCAGCCUGCCAGGAGAACACACACCAGUCCGCAGCCCAGCCCCUGCCCCUGCCGCCCCACAUCACACGCCAGCAGGUAUGGCUCGCCCUCCUCCCUGCACGUGCCGCUUGGCGCUGCUUCCCGUCUCCGCGGCAGGGCUUCACCUCCACAUCCAUGAGGAGCGAGGCUGGUGGGGCAAGAGGUGCCCCUGCCUCUUGGACACCAACAGGGUCAUCAGCCAAGGUGUCCGUGCAUGUGUGCACACAGAAAGCUCAGCAGGUAAAGGGAUGCCAGGCAGGGGAGGGACCACAUGCACAUGUGCCAGCCAGUGGAAAGCGGGGCAGGACAGUGCGGGGGGACAGUACGGGGGGACAGUGGGGUGGGACAGUGCAGGGGGACAGCGGGGCGGGACAAUAUGGGGGGACAGUGAAGCCGGACAGUGCGGGGGGGACAGUGCAGGGAGGCAGCGGAGUGGGACAGUGGGCAGACAGUGGGGGGGACAGCGGGGUGGAACAGUGUUGGGGGGACAGUAUGGCAGGAAGUCCGGGCAGGAGAGUGCAGAGGCAGAGCCGCGCAGGGGUGGGACAGCCGGGCAGCAGUGGCGGCCCCCUCGGAGGCCUCUGGGCAGUGUCUGCGUCACCACGGGGGCUCCCGGGUGGACAGCCGAGGUCACCGCCUGGGGAUCCUUCAAGCAGAGAUUUUCGCGCUUACUUUGUGUGUUUGGGUUUAAUGAACUUGAGUGCAGACCCUCCCCACGGUGUCUAG